CGGGUGGGCCGAAGUUAUAAAUAAUUUUUUUUUUUUAUCGAUUACUCCGUUCCCUUUUUUUCGAGACUACAUAAGCUUAUUUUUCUUUUCUAUUACAAAGUCUAAAAAGUCUAAACUACAAGUCUAAGAACUUUUGCUCCACCCUGUGGAUAUAUAUAUAUAUAUAUAUAUAUAUAUAUAUACAAUAUAUACAUAUACAUAUAUGAAAUGAUUUAGAAGAUGUGAAAAAUCGUCUGAGAAACAUAUCGAUCAAUCGUUUGACAAAGCAAACAUGGCGCUCGACUCGAUGAUACUCGUGGAUACGUUUGUUCAUUUAGAAAUAUUGAAAUUGUUGAUAUUAUCUCCAAUGUUUCACUACGUCUGUCUACCUUAUCUAAUUAACCUGCAAGGAUCCUAUAAAUUUAAACUGUAUAUAUUUCUCUUUACCUAGAUAGAUAUAAAUGGUAUGGAAUCUCGAAGCAGUCAGUCUUUGGUACUAUCAGUGUUACCAACUCAUAUACGCGUUCCUCAAAUAUCAUCGGCAUGACUUACGAACACGUAUGUAAUGUAAAUUCGCACAUGCAAAUAUAUACGAGAUAUAGUAGUGACUGUGUAUGGCGCGAUGGCUAUAUUGCGCACGCGAAAUAUGAGUUUAAAGAAAAAAAAAGUUUUAUUAUUUGAAACGUACAGAAAUCAGAAAUCUUUAAGGAGGAAAGAGAGAGAGAGAGAGUGUUGUUUGUUGAAGCUAUUAUCAAAAUCAAGUACUGCAAAAGAAAGUAAAUACAUCCAUAUGAAAAUAAUUUUAAUAUUAUAAUAUAUUUCGAGAGAUUAACAUAAGAAGGUUAAAAAACAAGGUAUACAUUCAAGAGGGAACGAUUAGCUAGGUGUUGAAGCAUGGAACGAUGCAAAUCCGAAGAUCUCCAAAUUCUUCCUCUCCUUCCUCGGCCCCACCUUAUUCUCAGUAUCAAACAAUUUCUGCAUCGAUUGGCCAUUUCCAAUGUACGAUUCAAUAAGUUCUUGGUAAAUAAUCGGAAAUUGCCGAGACGAUUCCCGAUAAACGUCGUAAGGAAAGUUCGAAGAAGUUUGUUUUGCAUGUUGGGCAUGCAACGAUACGAAAUCUACUAUAUAUAUAUGCAUGUAUAUAUAUUAUAUACGCAUGUAUUAUGAUAUAAGCAACUAAGCUCGCGGCAAAGGAUAGUUAGAUGUGCAAUCUGCACAACUCCUAUGUCGGUCCGAAAGUCAACGACAAUUUGUAUGUCUCGUAUGAUGCGAAAGCCGGAUGGGAUGCAUUUCUUUUCUCGGACGAUGUCUUUCAUGAAGAGUUAAUGACACUUCGAAUGGGUCAACAGCCAUGAUUUUUAUGCUUGGAAAAAAAAGAAAGAAACGAAAGAAAGCAAAAGAAAAAAAAAAAAGAAAUUAGAAGAAAAGAAUAAGCAAAACGAAUAAACGAGCGUAAAACUGGCCCUCGUUCGACCGAUUUCACAUCCACGUUAGUAGACGUUCGCUUCCGGUUCCGCGAUCGUACGUAAAAUCGAUGCAGCGCGGCUGCAACGGUCCGUCGUUUGCUCGCUUCUCAGACUCUGAACGUGAUGCACGACUUCCUACCGCUAUACGUACGUGAAAGACUGCGAAAGAGUGAGAGAGAAAGAGAUAGAGAGAGAGAAAGAGAGAAUUUGCCUAUUCUCGUUGCUUCCAACGAAUAACCCUCCCCGUACACAAAUGUAGAUACAUGUACUAGGUAUCGUCUUUUGCCAAAUGAACGAAAGAACUACGUAAUAAUUAUUCCUCGAAUGAUAAAUAAAUUAUAAAUAAUUUUUCUUAUCGAUUUUACAAAAAAUGCAUCGACAAUUAUAAAUAUUCGAUAUCGAUAAUUAAUUAAUUAUGUCCGAUAAAUAAGAAACGUUGUUAAUAAUAGUUAAUGAUGAUAAUGAAAAUAAUUAACAUGGAAAGCAUGCUGCUUGAUGAUCCUGUGGAACGUCGUUUCAUUUCCAUUGUUCAGAGUUCAUCGUUCCGGUCGUUCGUUCGUUCGCUAGUUCGUUCGCUCGUUCGUUCGUUCGUUCGUUCGCUCGUUCAUUCGCAUUUGCUCGUUCGAUCCGUCGACGCAACCAGGAGCGUAGAUAUCAGAACGAUAUGUUCGAAAUUUCGUGAGUUUCGAAAUUCUCUGCCCUUUGAAUGUCAAUCCCAGAACACGAUAUACUUUGUGAGAUCUGUACGUAUCACCUGCGUAAAUGUUCUCUUUGAAGACAACAAAGAGAGAGAGAGAGAGAGAGAGAGAGAGAGAGAGAGAGAGAGAGAGAGAUUUGAAGCAGCGAAUGCACAAUGAAAGAUAUCGACUGGGAUUCGAUUGAAAUUCUAACUAUGUAUUCAUAUGUAUAUAUAGAUCUAUCAAUGUUUUACAAUUGGUACAUGCAAGAGCAGGUGUUCCAGAGAGCUGAUGAUCUCAAAGUACCAUAGAGUGAUCUUUUAAUCAACUGGAAAUGAACAGGUGCUAAAGAGUUAGUCAAACAUUUUGUUUUCAAAU